UUUCGAGUUGGGUUACGGUUACGAAUCGCUCAACCCUAUCUCAAAGUUUCAGGUUUGUGUCAACCUAACAAGCCGAAAACAAUUUUUUUAUUUAAUUUAUUUUAGCUAAUCCCUAUCUUUUAAAAAGUGGGAGAAUAUAACCUUAAAAAUAUUUAUUUACCAUUAUACCCCCGUUAAUAUUGACUGUUUGUCUCGCUGUGCGUUAUCCCUGAUGUGACUAACUAAUGCUUUUCCUCUUUCUUCCUCAUAAGCGUCCCUUUCUCUCCUUCCUCCUCUACCUCUCUACUCUCUCUCCUCGAUUGAAGCAACUCCAUCGAAGUAGUUUAUGCGGUGAAGCAAACAAUUAGUUCUCCAUUGAAGCGCCUACUGUGCUUUAUCUCCUCCAUCGAAGUAGUUUCUAACUUGCUGCAUUGAGGUUCUCUCUACAUUCACUCUUGUUCGCCCCCAAAUUUUGGCGUUUCUAAUUACACGACUUCGUUAAUCUCGUUUUUCUGAUACAUAUUUCUGUAGCUGUUGAAUUUGUAAGCUCAAUUUAGCGCAAUCGAAGUGGAAUUGCUGAACUUUGCAUUUGGAUAUUCUUUAAAUCGACACUCAAUUGAUUGUUGGAGUUGGCUGUAAACACAGCACAAAACAAGAUUGCAAUGAUGAAUGUGCAAAUAAGGCUAUUAUGCUGGAGUUCCCUGCAAGGAUAACAAAAUCGAGUGCUUAGAAGUGUCAGAAUAAUUAAUGGUUGCUUUGAGAGUUUGAGUCCACUAAAGGGAAUGAGCAUUAAAGGAAAAAGUAGUCUCGCUCAAGGCCAGAUGUGAUUGAGAGGCUUAACAAUAUGAGAGGGAGAGGCAUGGCUUCAAUGUAUUCGUGGUCUUCUUAAAGGUAGUCAUACAUUGUCUUGUCAUCAUUAUUUUUUAAGGCUCAAUACGUAAGUUUCCAUAUUCUUUAUGUCUAACACCUGCUGGACAUGAAUAUAGCAAGGUAGUGGUGGAAUCAUAGUUAGUGUUAUAAGUUGCAUACUAUUAAUUUGGAUGCAUAGUAGUGUAGCUGAAGUAGAUGUAGCAAAAACUUGAAUGUUCAAUAUGAAGCCCAAGGAACUAAGGAACUCAAGUGUAGGCUGGUGAAUCGGUUGGAUUUCGUAGACUGUAAUUACAGAAAACUGAUGUCCAUGCUCAUGAUAUUAAAUUUACAAGGGUAUUGGUUCGUGAAAGUGAAAUCCGAAAGAUCAUAUGAGCAGCUCUAGCAAGGAGGGGGGAAAAAAACUAGAAGCUAAGACAAAGGUUGGUCAAAUACAGCAACUAGAACUCGUGUCCAGGUGCAAAGCCACAUUUCUUGAUGUAUUGGAGGCGUGCUUGCAUCACAUAAAAGAAGUCAGUUUCAACCGUUCGUUACAAUUACUGGUAUUGUCUUGUCAUGACUGUCACAAGAAUUCUUCGAUUUGGCAUCUAUUAAUCUAAAGUUUUUAUCGACAUGGACCAAGGCUAUAAUUGAAAGUUAAAAUCAUUGUAAUUAUAACACCAUACAUCUGUACAAGUAAUUAAACAGGUUCCUAUCUUUCAUACUUGUUCGUUAUAAUGCAAGUUUUUUUUUGUCGAUAA